AUGUUCUGCGAUAAGUGUAUAUACUAAAACUGGAAUGAUAGAGAGAUGAUUACCACAGCUCCUGCACAAGGAUGGUAUGCAAAUUUGUGAAACGGCCCAUAUAAGG